CAAAGAACAAAAGGCUACGGCCACCCCUACGGUAUAAACAGUUACGACCAUCCUCUCAUGUGUACAGGCAGUUACGGCCAUCCUAACGUAUACGCGGCUACGACCCUCUCCUAAGAAUGAACAUUUAAGAUCGAUGACAACAUGCAACCACGAUCACCAACUCCAGUCCAUUACGGCUAAGGCCGUUCACCAUUGUAUG
rnacentral:lncRNA from 1 species